rnacentral:rRNA from 1 species
CCUACGGGAGGCAGCAGUGGGGAAUUUUGGACAAUGGGCGAAAGCCUGAUCCAGCAAUGCCGCGUGCAGGAUGAAGGCCUUCGGGUUGUAAACUGCUUUUGUACGGAACGAAAAAGCUCCUUCUAAUACAGGGGGCCCAUGACGGUACCGUAAGAAUAAGCACCGGCUAACUACGUGCCAGCAGCCGCGGUAAUACGUAGGGUGCGAGCGUUAAUCGGAAUUACUGGGCGUAAAGCGUGCGCAGGCGGUUAUGUAAGACAGAUGUGAAAUCCCCGGGCUCAACCUGGGAACUGCAUUUGUGACUGCAUGGCUAGAGUACGGUAGAGGGGGAUGGAAUUCCGCGUGUAGCAGUGAAAUGCGUAGAUAUGCGGAGGAACACCGAUGGCGAAGGCAAUCCCCUGGACCUGUACUGACGCUCAUGCACGAAAGCGUGGGGAGCA